rnacentral:lncRNA from 1 species
GUUGCUCGGAUUACCCAGGUGGGCCCAAUGAUGAGAUCACGGGGAUUCCUCUGGGGCUACGGGCAGGAGGGGUGGGAUGAGGAGCAGCCGCCACACAAGCAAUGCCAGUGAUCUCCAGAGUCUGGGAAGGACACGGGAACGACGUCUCCCUUGGAGCCCCCGGGAAGAACGCAGCCCUGGACACUGUGACUGUCAAUCUCUGACCUCAGAACCAUGGGGCUGAGCCUCCAGCCUCCAGAGGUCACCAGACAGCUCUGUGCAGCCUCAGAAGUGCAGGGAGCACUGUCUCACGAGCAUCACCUUUACAGGUCUGAGCCCUGGGAUAAGCGACAAACUCCACUGCUCAUUGAAAGAUGGACACCCUGGAAACCUACCUCCAGCAGCCUUUGCCUCGAUUAAGUGAGGUACAGCUUCCUGCACCCACCAGCCCGCCCCACCGUGAGCAAGAAACAACUGUCGCUCCCACAAGUCAUGGAAGGUGCUGCUGUCACUCCCAGCUGCGCAGGAGGGUCACCGGGGAACUCGGAAACAGCCUGGGGAGCCAAACAACUCCUUGGCGUUUUUGAAGCUUCCCCCAGGGUCUGGGGAUGUGGCUCAGUGGUAAAACACUUGCCCUGGGUUCAACCCCUAGAAGGUCUAGGAACCUGUAUCUUAAAAUAAAAGGAAGCGCUUUCCUGCUUCUCUCUGCGGAUCUGAAUUGCCAUCACCACCACCACUUGCCCACGCCUGCCUCCCUCAGUCUCCGCGCCCAGCCCUGCCCCUGGGUCUCCUCAGAGGGCUUCAGGGCAGCCUUUGGGGAGCCCAGCUCUGGGGUCCUUCCUCCACUGCCUGUCCGAACCUGGCAGAAGCAGAGCAGCUGGAAUAAAAGUCCCGUGCUGUAUUCACAGACUCCAGAAGAGUGCGCGUCUGUCACAUGGCUUCGGUCUACUCUUCCUGCUUGGCCUGGGCUCUGCGCACAUGUGACCAUCCCAGAGGAAAUUCCCUAGGAUAAAGGGUUUUCUGGUGCCUGCCAUUGGCUCCAGGGUGGCUGAGAGCAACUAUAAAGAGCCUCUUGGACAAAACAGUUGUGAUCUCUCCCCAGAGUGCCUCCCAAUGGGACUGAGUCUAAGGCCUGCUUCAACUCCCCUCCUUCCUUUCUGCUUGCUGGGUGCUAUGGCUAUUGGCCGCUGCCUCAGUUUCCCCUUCUGCAAAAUGGGCCGUGAUCCAUUCCACAGUGUAGGUUGUGCCAGAGGGCAUACCGUUUCAUUACAUAAUGACUCCGGAGCAGAGCCUGUUUGCUUGGCAUCUCUCCACCUGUUGGUGCCAGGGGCAACACUGGGACUCAGCUUCGUAACCUUGCAUUUCUGCAGCAGGGUGAAAGGAAGGUGCUGGAAUGUCUCCUUUCUCUUAGGUCUGGAAAGGGGGCCUCUUGGGGCUGGGGCCUCAGGAGGGAGACAGAACAGGGCACUUGUCCUCCUGGUAAAAUGCAUGAUGGCUUUAGGUGGCUCACAGGCAAGCCAGGGUAUUGUUUUGUUUUGUUUCCUUGUGCUAUGUUUUUUGAUUUUGUUUGGAAGUGUUGGGGAUUGAAGCCAGGGCCUUCUCACUGAGCUACAUCCUCAGCCCUUUAUAAAUUUUUUUGAGACAGGAGCAUGUUAAGUCUCUAAGUUGCCCCACCUGAGUUUGAACUUGUGCUCCUCCUGCCUCAGGCUCCCAGAGUGCUGGGAUUACAGGUGUAUACCACUAGGCCUGCUGGGGUUUUUUUUUUCCUUUCAGUUUCUUAUUCACCAUGGAAACGUGGGUGAAAAAAAUAUAAGUGACCUCUCACAGAGUGAUCUCACCUGGUAGCCACACAGUGCCCACUUUCAGGGAGCGGACCUGUUUCUCUGGACGCUGGCUGUUGAACGAAGGCAAGUCAGGGAUGACAGGGACAGCGUGGGCUGCUGCAGUCACUGGGCUCUGGGCCUGGCCAGCCCUGGGACACAGAAGGGGAAACUGAGGCCCCAUCACAGGUAUUUCAGUGCCAAUCACCAACAUCACACCUGGCUCGCUCAUCAUUUCCUAAAAAGGACAACUUUAAAAUCGCUGUAGAUUGACAGGAAACAGUGCCGAGCAGCAUGAUUCUGUGCACCCUUCGCUGAGUGCCACCAUGGUCACAUCUUACAUCGUCUGUGAUGUCAAACAUCAGUGUCCGCAGCAUUGAAACUCGGGACCUGAGCUUGCUUGAACCUGUGUGCACAGCGGUCCUGUGCCCUCUUGUCACCUGCAUGGGUUCACAUGACCGGCGUGGUGAAGACCAGACUGUUCAAUCUCCCCAAGGACGCCCCUUGGGGUCACACCCGCCCUCCUGCCCCACCCCACCCCCG